GACGAACGCUGGCGGCGUGCUUAACACAUGCAAGUCGAACGGAAAGGCCCUGCUUUUGUGGGGUGCUCGAGUGGCGAACGGGUGAGUAACACGUGAGUAACCUGCCCUUGACUUUGGGAUAACUUCAGGAAACUGGGGCUAAUACCGGAUAGCAGCUCCUGCUGCAUGGUGGGGGUUGGAAAGUUUCGGCGGUUGGGGAUGGACUCGCGGCUUAUCAGCUUGUUGGUGGGGUAGUGGCUUACCAAGGCUUUGACGGGUAGCCGGCCUGAGAGGGUGACCGGCCACAUUGGGACUGAGAUACGGCCCAGACUCCUACGGGGGGCAGCAGUGGGGAAUAUUGCACAAUGGGCGGAAGCCUGAUGCAGCAACGCCGCGUGCGGGAUGACGGCCUUCGGGUUGUAAACCGCUUUCGCCUGUGACGAAGCGUGAGUGACGGUAAUGGGUAAAGAAGCACCGGCUAACUACGUG
rnacentral:rRNA from 1 species